rnacentral:rRNA from 1 species
AGGGUUCGAUUCUGGCUCAGGAUGAACGCUGGCGGCGUGCUUAACACAUGCAAGUCGAACGGGAACUUAAUGAAACCUAGUGAUUAAGUUUAGUGGCGGACGGGUGAGUAACGCGUGGGUAACCUGCCGUAUGCAGGGGGAUAACAGUUAGAAAUGACUGCUAAUACCGCAUAAGACCACAGUCUCGCAUGAGACAGGGGUAAAAACUCCGGUGGCAUACGAUGGACCCGCGUCUGAUUAGAUAGUUGGUGAGGUAACGGCCCACCAAGUCAACGAUCAGUAGCCGGCCUGAGAGGGUGAACGGCCACAUUGGGACUGAGACACGGCCCAAACUCCUACGGGAGGCAGCAGUGGGGAAUAUUGCACAAUGGGCGAAAGCCUGAUGCAGCCGACGCCGCGUGAGUGAAGAAGUAUUUCGGUAUGUAAAGCUCUAUCAGCAGGGAAGAAAAUGACGGUACCUGACUAAGAAGCACCGGCUAAAUACGUGCCAGCAGCCGC